AACGAACGCUGGCGGCAUGCUUAACACAUGCAAGUCGAACGCUCUGACGGGGCUUGCUCUGUCAGGGAGUGGCGCACGGGUGAGUAGCGCGUGGGAACCUGCCCUCUUGUGGGGGAUAACUGCGGGAAACUGCAGCUAAUACCGCAUAAGCCCAGGGGUAACUCUGGGGAAAGAUUUAUCGCGAGAGGAGGGGCCCGCGUCGGAUUAGCUUGUUGGUGGGGUAACGGCCUACCAAGGCGAUGAUCCGUAGCUGGUCUGAGAGGAUGAUCAGCCACAC
rnacentral:rRNA from 1 species